AUUUUCAAAUCACAUUGUUGCUGUUAUUUAAAAGCUUUUAUUUUAAUUUUAGCAAAUUAAUUAAAUAAUUUAUUUGUAGUCAACCUUAAUUUUAAAGGAGGGGAAGUUUAAAAUCAACAACUUACCUAGUGGCAAAUCAUCAGGCCACCUCAAAUUUUUGGCUUCACACACCGUCACUGUUAACCUUUCAAUCAUCGGAUUGUAACAAAGGCUUACAUUUAUUUCCCCGGACUCGGAUGGCGGCUGAUUUAGGAUUAACAAUUUAAUACAAAAUAUACCAUGUCUUUACAAAAGAGUACAGGUUCAGUUGAAUUUACAUCGACAUCUUUCAAUUUAACUAUAACAUGGCCAAUUAUGGUGUGUCGUUUACCUCUAUCAUUGUCAAACACUGUUAAUCGAAGCGAGCUAUCUUGAACAGAUUUAUUUGGAACCUAGAAAAAACAAGGAAUUUCAAGCCAAUUAGAAGGUUAUGCAGGCAAAGUUCAGAUCAACGAUGUGGCGUUUACCAGGUUUAUGUUAUUAAUUUACCCCUUUACCUGUUUCUACUCUAUUCAGGAUUGUGAUUAUUGAUCAUUUUUUGCCUACUUGCAAAUUGUUACAAUAAUUAUGGUAAUUUAUUGUUUGCAUGACAGAGCAUAAAUAUUUUGUAAGGCCUCGCAUCCACUUGAUCACCGAUCAUAUUGACAAGUUUUUUGGUAAACAAAGGAUCACAUUGCUUAUCCUAGUAUCUAAAUUGGUUUUCUGGUUAUGACUUUUUUUGUUUGAUUUUGCCUUCUUUUCAUUCAUUCACUGUUUAGAUUCAGGGGAGAUUAAUCAUUUGUGAAGGGGAUAAACGUGAUUGAAAAAUCGUGAAAAAUUGUGUAAACAAUAAUCAGAUAGCAUGGAAAAACACGGAUAGGGUGAAUUUCAAUCAAGCUUCAACCUUUACUAAUGAAUUCAUCUGAUCUAAUCAUCUUCUACUAAUCUCAAAAAAUUUUCUGAUUGUAUCAAUUAACCAUGCAUCAUAAAACUACAUACGUAAUGUAAGAUUCCUACGCGACCCUUCAUCAACAGAUGAUUUACGUACAUCCAUUACAAAAUAUUAAUUGCCAGCUUUGUUUUGCUGUUUACUUUUCAUUUGAGUGCUCGACUUAGAUUCCGGUUGAUCAGCAAUUAUUUUCAUUUUCUGAAUGCUUUUGGGGAAUGGCAAAGGUUGUGUUUUGUUCUCAUCAUGGUAACUCUUCUAGUUUGCUGACACAUUUUCUUGUCCACCCAACUCUCUUUUGAUGGGGCUUUCAACAAAGUAUCAAAAGCCAAUUAGAUGAUAAUUAUUUACUGUACAACUCGACUUUCAAACGCCUUACAUUUACUCUUGUUUCAACUAUGGCCUUGGUGGAAA